rnacentral:lncRNA from 1 species
GGGGGGGGGGGGCAAAUACCUUGAAAUUUGUGGACCUGGUCAUUUUCCCAAAGAUACAGGUCUGUAACACACAUGCUCUGCAGUAAUGUCUGUUUAUUAAUUCUCACUAGUGUCCAAAAACACCUGGAAAGCGGUAGGACAAUGUCAUGGGAAAUCCAUAUGCUCGUGUUAUUGGAUAUUUGUCUUGACCGGGUACCAUUUGAAAAGGAAACUGAAAAGCAACCCUCUUUUAUGUUUUAGAUGGGCUGCAAAAUACAGCACAAAAGGAAUACACAAAAUUCCCUCAGUAAAGUACUUCUUUUCAGCUAUUUGGUUUAAUCACACAUAACAGGCGCUCUUAGUUGCUGCUUUGCUGGGGCCAAGUGAAACAGAUAACCCAGUCCUUGGCGUGGACUCCGCUCUUCUGUCCCCCAUUACUGCCAUUGAUAAAUACCACUGGGGAGUGCCUACUGCAGAAUCCCAGCCACUUUGUCAUUUGCAACCUGGCCAGCCAUUUUUUCAGUGACUAUCCAAUUACUGGAAGUAAGUUAUUCUAUUCAGAGGUGAACACCAGUCACGCUUAAGUGUUCCCACCAACCGGUGUGCAGCGCCCCACACUUGGAGCCACCGCACAGGACAAAUACUGCUUUUCCUGAGCUCCCCUGGAGCUUCAUUCAUUGAGGCAACCCAAGAUCCCUUGCUAAAAGCAAAACUAAAGCAUUCCACGCCGUUUUCAUUCAGGUGGCCUCCAUUUGACUCCCGACAGCCUGAACUCGUCACGUAGGUAAGAAAACUUUUUAAAGACCAUUUGGACUUUGCUUUGUUUCAGUGAAAUGGGUCGUGAGAAAAAGUGCCUUCCAACGACCAACUCCCUAAAUCCAACACCCUUCUCUUUACAGCGUCUUCACAUCCAACCUUUACAACCAAGACUCUAUACCUCAAACUACAGUGCCUUGGAAAAUUACUGCCACAUCGGCAGAAAACCGAGUUACCUUUCGAGUCAGGUUUGAUUCUGAUGCAGGCAGCCAUGUGCGGCAGGGCUUUCGCACGGUUGCAAGCGCACACCUGGCCGGAUGCUGGCUGCACCACACACUGCCAAGUACAAACUCCCCGAAAAACAGGUGGAUUCGGAAACCAACAGCGCCCGGGUCAGAACUCUGGGCCAGUCCAAAACCUGACAACAUCUGCGUUCCUUGCAGGUAUUUUCGAACGUAAGCCCGACGCUAGGCAGUGCUGUUAGAAAGUGAUUUGGAAGAGCGCUUCCGAGCCACGGCGCGCCCUCCGGGGGAGCGCACCGGAGCAGGUGCGGGCGAGCCCCGCGCCCGGGGAGGUCAGGAAUUCCCCAGCCACACCAGAUCCAACCGGACGCCCCAGAACGGGGACGGUCCCCGGAGUCCGCCUCCCAACCUGGAAGCACCUUGAGGAAGAAAUUGUCUUGUCUACAGCUCUAUCCUCAGUACAGCACCAAGCUUACAGUGGAUGCUCAGUGAAGAUUUGCCGAUUUGCCGAAUGAAUGCUUUCACCCCUGCAACUGUUUACUGCCUGCUAGGAGCUCAGAGCCUCUGGGAUACAGGCUGGGAAUGACAGUGCCUGCUCGCUUGGAAGGCCUCUCUUCUGGAGUCAAUAAAACAGCACUUCUUUGCUUCUUC